UACGGAGGGUGCAAGCGUUGUCCGGAUUUAUUGGGUUUAAAGGGUGCGUAGGCGGUUUUCUAAGUCAGUGGUGAAAGGCAGCAGCUCAACUGUUAGCAUUGCCAUUGAUACUGGAGAACUUGAGUACAGAUGAGGUAGGCGGAAUUUAUGGUGUAGCGGUGAAAUGCAUAGAUACCAUAAAGAACACCGAUUGCGAAGGCAGCUUACUAGCUGUAACUGACGCUGAUGCACGAAAGCGUGGGAUCGAACAGG
rnacentral:rRNA from 1 species